rnacentral:rRNA from 1 species
UACGUAGGGGGGCUAGCGUUGUCCGGAAUCAUUGGGCGUAAAGCGCGUGUAGGCGGCCCGGUAAGUCCGCUGUGAAAAGUCGGGGGGCUCAACCCUCGGAUGCCGGUGGAUACUGUCGGGCUUGAGUACGGAAGAGGCGAGUGGGAAAUUCCUGGUGUAGCGGUGAAAAUGCGCAGAUAUCAGGAGGAACACCGAUUGCGAAGGCAGCUCGCUGGGACGUUACUGACGCUGGAGACGCGAAAGCGUGGGGAGCAAACAGG